CAGGAGCGAGCAGUGGCGCGAGGUGCCGCGCACACCGGCGCGGUUAGCUCCCGGCGGGAAAGUGGGAGAGAAUCAAGUCGGUGAACCUCGCACCCCUAGCCCUGGGAGUGGAUCUAGCAUUCCUGGAGGAAGGGCAUGUACCAUUAAACUCCGCCAUUUUGCCUCUUGGUGCAUAAGCUUGAGCCCAUUUACCCAACUUCUGAGAUCUUAUCGAGAAGCUGCUGAUCAUCAGUUUCAAGUGUUUUCCAUCUAUUUGGAGACUGCCUUUCCCUGGUGCUGGCUGCAACCAAUUACUAUUUUAGAGACAAGUUUAACAACCACCUGACCAUCACCUGAUGGUUGCCUAACAUUCCUGGUGGUGGGGUUGGGGCAGCACUCCUGCCCCAACAAUGGGAAUGUUGUCUUAUCGUGUGCAAUUUAAAAAUUAUAUCACUAUGGCCAGGCUCAGUGGCUCACGCCUGUAAUCCCAGCACUUUGGGAGGCCGAGGUGGUUGGAUCGUGAGGUCAGGAGUUCGAGACCAGCCUGGCCAAUAUGGUGAAACCCCGUCUCUACUAAUAAUACAAAAAUUAGCUGGGUGUGGUGGCUCACGCCUGUAGUCCCAGCUACUCGGGAGCCUGAGGCAGAAGAAUCGCUUGAACCCGGGAGGUGGAGGUUGCAGUGAGCCAAGAUCAUGCCACUGCACUCCAGCCUGGAUGACAGAGCCAGACUCCAUCUCAUAAAAAAAAAAAAAAAAAAAAAAAGAAAAGAAAAAGAAAGCAAACUUCAAAAGACUGUGCUACCUUUUGUAUACUGUGCUACCUUUUGUAUAAGGAAGAAGGGGAAAUAUGAAGACAUAAAUGUAUCUGCAGGUUUUUGCCAAGAAAAACAAAGUAUAAACCAGAAACUCAUCAAAUUGAUUACCUGUGAUGGGGGGAUGGGGGAAAAUGAGGAUUGCUUGAGCUCAGGAGGUCCUGGCUGCAGUGAGCCGUGAUCUCGCCACUGCACUCCAGCCUGAGCGACAGAGCGAGACCCUAUCUCAAAAUAAAAACAAAACAGACAGUAUGGGGAAAAUUGAUAAAUUUGGAAUAUAGACUACAAAGUAUUGCAUCCAUGAUAAAUUUCCUGAAUGUGUUAUGACUCUACUGGAGAUAUGGAAGGAUGUAUUCUUUUUUGUGGUUGUUGAGACAGGGUCUCGCUCUUGUCACCCAGGCUGGAGUGCAGCAGUGGGGUCUUGGCUCAAUGCAGCCUCCACCUCCCAGGCUCAAGAGAUCCUCCCACCUCAGUCUCCCAAGUAGUUGUGGCUGGAACUAUAGGUGUGCACCACCACGCCCAGCUAAUUUUUUGUUUCUUGGUUUUUUUUUCUUUUGGUAAAGAUGGGGUUUUGCUGUGUUGCCCAUGCUGGUCUUGAACUGCUGGCCUCAAGCUAUCCACCUGCCUCUGCCUCCCAAAGUGUUGGGAUCACAGAUGUGAGCCACCAUGUCCGGCCAGGGUGUUUUUUUGUUUUGUUUUGUUUUUUGUUUUUUGAGACAGAGUCUCCCUCCCUCUUGUCACCCAGGCUGCAGUGCAGUGGUGAGAUCCCAGCUCACUGCAACCUCCGCCUCCUGGGUUCAAGUGAUUCUCCUGCCUCAGCCUCCCGAGUAGCUGGGAUUACAGGCGUGUGCCACCACGCCUGGCUAAUUUUGU
rnacentral:lncRNA from 1 species